UACGGGGGGAGCAAGCGUUGUUCGGAAUUACUGGGCGUAAAGGGCUCGUAGGCGGCCAACUAAGUCGGACGUGAAAUCCCCAGGCUCAACCUGGGAACUGCGUCCGAUACUGGAUGGCUUGAAUCCGGGAGAGGGAUGCAGAAUUCCAGGUGUAGCGGUGAAAUGCGUAGAUAUCUGGAGGAAUACCGGUGGCGAAGGCGGCAUCCUGGACCGGCAUUGACGCUGAGGAGCGAAAGCCAGGGGAGCAAACGGG
rnacentral:rRNA from 1 species